ACGCCAUGUUUUUAACAGGCUGGGGAAUCUCAGAGGCAGGUGAAGCCAGUUAUUACAAAACUAUCGCGAGUUCAUGCCGGGGUCACUGGAAACCACACCGGCAACAGCUGCUGAGGUUGUGUGGCUAUCAGUUCUCCACAGACAGCUGAGUUUUAUGGAUUCUUAAACAGGAGGUAUGUACAAACGCCAAACGCGGGGGUUGAAAAUUUCUUGUUUCAUUUUCCGCCUAUGAGUGUUUUGAGUACAUGGAUGUGAGAGCACCGUAUGUAUGCAGCGCUCAUGGCGGCCAGAAGAGGGCGCCAGAUCACUGGAACUGAAGUCGGGGGACAGGCUGAGCUGCUGAUGUCAGUGCGGGAACUCUAACCUGCAUCCUUAGGAACAGUGUUGUUUAAGGGCUGAGCCAUCUCUUCAGCCUGGAUUAGAACUUUCUAUUUUAAAUGACAAUCGUAAAGCCUGUGCCACGUUUUGGAUUUGUUGUUUUGGUUUGGUUUGGUUUUAGUGUUCGAGUUUUUCAUUUUGAGCAAAGCACACACCACGUGAGUCUGAGCCCGUCACCAUCCCCCUAAUGGUCUAGAAUCCUUCUCAGGUUUUGGGAGAAGCACCAAUCCACACGAGCCGCAGAAAGCUUGCUUCCUGGUAUAGUGGAUUCUCUCUAAUCACAGAUCAAUGUCUUCUCUCUAAUCACAGAUCGAUGUCUUCUCCUCUACCCUCUGUGUUGAGACUCCUGCCGGUCUCUCAGAGUCACGGACACCAGCGGGGCACUCUGGUUUCCUUCGCUUUAAUUCGUGAUAUUGACUCCUGCCCUGUAACUUGGACUUUGGCUCUUUCCCCUUUGAUCUAGAAAAAAAUCAUGAUCUUCAGGGAGACUCCCAGUCACGCUCACCCAGAACGUGCGUGCCAACGGCAGCAGCACAGCUCACAUCUAUUGAGCAGUGUGCAUGGUAAUAGAUGCUUUGUGAUCACUGUCUAGUUCAUCUAGAGUGUUUGUGAUGGCCCGGCCUGGGGAAUGCUCGCUUGGCCCUGCCUUUCAUGUGAGAAGCAAAG